CCUAAGGAUGAUUUCGGUCUUUGCAUUGUGCAGAAUGCCAGCGCACAGUUCAUACCACAGAAGAGACAGGUGUAAGUGCAACAGCCGGGCAGCGGGCAGACGGACAGUCAUAAGGUGGCAACGACGGGUGUCCUCCCUCCUCCAUCUCAUCGGUGGAAGAGAGUGUGACAGAUCGGAACACGCUGCCGCCCGAGGCAAGAGGGUCUCAGGUGGGCAACGGACCGAAGAAGCCAGCAGCUGCUGGUUGUGGCAGGUCGCCCCAGUGCUGGAAGCGUAGCGUACUGGGUCGCCGCCGGUGGGUGACCGUCGUCAUGGUGACGGGUGCGGAAGUGACGCAGCGGAGCACCGCGAGUGCGGCCUUGGCCGCGUGGCCUGCCACGGCACGGGCCGGCGCCGAUAGCUGCCGCCUAAGCGAGAGGGUGUGCCCGGGUUCCCGAAUCCGGCCUCAUCGCCAAAUUAAAAGGCUGCCGCUAUCAUAAACAA
rnacentral:lncRNA from 1 species